CCAUCCGAGAGGCCCCGCCCCUUCAGGCCGCGUGUCGCCCUCCCAUUGGCUGCGCCCGGGAAGGCGCGCGCGCGCGCGCGCGAGAGAGAGAAUAGGGUUGUUGUAUGUCUUUCGGGCUGUGUGGCCAAUGUUCCAGAAGCAUUCUCUCCUGACGUUUCGCCCACGUCUACGGCAGGCAUCCUCAGAGGUGGUGAGAUAACCUAAGGAGAUGCGUCCUGAGGAGAUGAAAGAGCUUGCAAAACUACAGCUCCCUGGGUUCCGCAGCGUGGAGCCACGGCAGUCCCAAAGACUAGUGCGGCCAACCAAGGCGGCCUCCUCCGUGUUGCUGGGGAGCAAGGAAAGGCCUUGGGGCCGGACUGUGGCGCAGCUGGCUAGUAACCAGCUGCUAUAAAUCACUACUGACCAAGAGAUCAUGAGUUCGAAGCCCAGGUCGGGUUAAGCCUCCGACCAUAAAAAAAAAAUAGCCCCGGCUUGCUGUUGACCUAGCAGCCCCGAAAGACAGUUGCAUCUGUCAAAUAGGGAAAAUUUAGGUAAGCUUUAUGCGGGAGGCUAAUUUAACUAAUCUACAACACCAUAAAACUGCUCACGAGGAAAAGAAUGAAGGAAGAACAGCCACCAAUGGACGGUGAAGCAACAGCUCCCCCUGUGGCCAGAAUCGUGAAGCUGGAAAGAUGUUAAAAAAUGCCUCUGUGUCUGUCUAAAACUGAAUGUUGUUUGUCUGUUGGCAUUGAAUGUUUGCCAUAUAUGUGUUCAUUGUAAUCCGCCCAGAGUCCCCUUCGGGGUGAGAAAGAAGGGCGGGAUAUAAAUAAAUACUGUAAAUUGGGAAACAUCCCCACCCACCAAGGACAGGGCAGGACAGGACAAGGGCCAGCCUUCCAUCUCCGCAAGAGUUUACCUGUUUGUGUUGCAAACCAUGAAGAGCGGAGGUAAGGUGCCUUAGAAACACCUGAGUGGCUGACAAAGCCAAAGAGAAAAGAACGAGGUCCCACCCAGUUUUGGAAGCCAGGUCCUGGGUCACACUUGGAUGGGAGGCUGGCUGUGAGUCUCAGGUGCUGCAGGCAAUAUCACGGCCCGGAUUGAGGAUCAUGCGCAAGGAUUUGGGAUGAACGGAACUGUGCACUUGAUACGUUUUAAGUUUUGUACAUUGCUCGCUCCAUGUGUUUCAAUGCUUAAUGUAAAUUGUUUCUUAACUGUUUCAUGUUUUAUUGUACUGUUGUUUUUAUUGAUGAAGGUGUAUUGGGAAAAUAUAAUACUUGUAUUGGAAAAUAUAUAUCGAAUGUAAUCAUGUUAAAGAAAUAGAUAUAGAGAAAUGUAAUCACAAGCAGAUGUGUGCUAGUUUUAGGAAUACUCUGUUCAGCGAAAUAACUGCCUGCCCGUAGCAAGACUGAAAGUUCACUGAGACAUCUGUUAAAUGUCAACAAAGAACAGAUAAAGCUCCAUGCUAAUGGACAAAAGACAAAUUAAGGUUUUUUGGGAUGUCAAGAUAAGACCUAGAGCCAUGAGGGGAGUGCCAUUAAGUCUCUGACAACUAGGAUUAAUUAAUGAGAACCCUAAUGCAUGAGGCGAGAAUUCCAGUCUAAUAGGUCACUAACAGCUGAGACAACUGGAAUUCGCCUUUAUUAAUGAACACCCUUAAUGUGUGAGACGAGAAUUCCAAUGCUAAUAGGUCUUUGACAGUUGAGAUAACUAGGAUUCUCCUUAAUUAAUGAGAAUCCUUAAUGGGUAAGGCGAGGAUUCCAAAAGAUAACACCCUAAUGGAAGGGUAGAGGUCCUAAAAGUAGUUUAUAUUUUAGGAAAAUGCCAAGAUAAGCUUUUUAGUUAAGUGCUCAGUAAGACUUUUGUUUGACAUUAAUUGGUGAUUGAUAAUACCUGUGACGUAGGAUAGAGGCAAGCCAAAAUAGUAUAUAAGGAUCUGUGUUCUUUGUCUAAAUUACCUUCGCUUUCCUGAUGACAGGAGAAGGUCUCCUUUUUCUUUAUUGCUGUAUUCUCACUGGCCAUUGAGAAUAAAGACGUCAUUUUUCUACAA